AUUGAACGCUGGCGGCAGGCCUAACACAUGCAAGUCGAACGAGUGGCGGAAGGGUGAGUAAUGUCUGGGAAACUGCCUGAUGGAGGGGGCUAACUACUGGAAACGGUAGCUAAUACCGCAUACCAUCAGAUGUGCCCAGAUGGGAUUAGCUAGUUGGUGGGGUAACGGCUCACCAAGGCGGCGAUCCCCAGCGGGUCUGAGAGGAUGACCAGCAACACUGGAAGUGGGACACGGUCCAGACUCCUACGGGAGGCACCAGUGGGGAAUAUUGCGCAAUGGGCGCAAGCCUUAUGCAGCCAUGCCGCGUGUAUUAAGAAGGCCUUCGGGUUGUAAAGUACUUUCAGCGGUGAGGCGUUACCCGCAGAAGAAGCACCGGCUAACUCCGUGCCAGCAGCCGCGGUAAUAC
rnacentral:rRNA from 1 species